GAAGUUCCCAGGUUAGGGAGCGAACCCGCGCCACAGCAGUGAUGAAGCUGGAUGCUCCAUCUGCUGAGCCACCAGGGAACUCCCGGGACUUGUGUGCUUUUGAAUGGGACCCGACACCUCCCUGAUUUUUCAGACGCAAAAUCUGAGACCCAGAGAGAAGAGGGGAUUUGCUCCGUGUCAUGCAGCCAGAGUGAUGGAACGGGGCUUUGAACCCAGAUCUUCUCCCUCCUGUGGGGAAAUUGAACCGAAUCCAAGCACACUGAGGAAUAUCGAAGGAUCACACGUGCUCCAGCAACUGUCUGGGGAAAACUGGGCGAGAACUGUGAGGGGCAAACGUCCAAGUAAGCCUGAUGCUUACGAAAAACAGUAUGUCAGAGCGACUCCUGUCACGGUGACUGCUGAAGUCAGUUGAGUAUCUGCUGCUUACUAGAAGCAGGACGGCGGGUAACAUCGAUAUAGCUUUAAUUCCAUAUAAAGAGAUGGGAAAAUUCCACCAUCGCUUUGGAGGCACCUGCCAGCUGCCUGCAUGCAUUCAGCACACCCAGGCCAGCAAACCGCACUGCAGAUGGCCUUUCAACUUCGUGCCUCUUUUGCUGGUUUGGGAUAUGGUGUUGCAGCCGGCACAGGGCCCUGAUCCAGUUGGUUACUCACAUAGUAAACAGCAGAAAGAUCGCCCAAGGUGAAGGACUCGGGGCCCGUGUAGGACAAAACAGCCGUGAGCAGGUGUCCGGGUUCUCGUUGCGGCGAGGGGUGGAGCUGGUGAGGGAGUUUUGCAUGGGGGCAGGGCCGUCCAUGGUUUGAAAUCCCCGCUGGUGCCCAGGAUAGAGCUCCUGCAUUGCUGAGAUGUGGGGCAAAAGGGAAGCAGGAGGGAUGGGGCUUGAAAGCCCUUAGGAGUCAAAAACCAAAAUGCGCUUAGACAGUUUAUUGCAAUGAUCUAACUCAGAGUUGUAAAGACUUUAGAACAGGGUUGGAGAACAAGGCUCUGCACAAGGCAAUUUGUAAGAAAAAUUAGCUGCUAUUAUUUUUACCAUUUUGGGGGGGUCACACCUGUGGCAUAUGGAAGUUUCUGGGCCAGGGAUCAAAUCUGAGCCACAGCUGAGACCUGCGCCACAGCUGCGGCAGUGCUGGCUCCUUCACUCCCUGUGCCAGGCCAGGGAUCGAACCAGCGCCUCCACAGGGAGAAGCUGGGUCCUGAACUUGCUGUGCCACAAGGGAACUCCCUGGGCUACCUGUCUUUAUAGUCACUUUGCUACUCUGUCUUCAAAAUCAUUUUCAUUAUUUGAUGAUAUUCCUAUUAUGCUUCUGAGUUUGCUUCUGUCUAUGCGUCUUCCUUGAUGGGGUGUAAAUCUCACAGGAUCGGCAACCGUGUUUGUUCCAUCCGUCAUGAUAAUCCCAGCAUCCAGCAUAGGGCUUACUUAGCGCAGAGUCGAACCUCAAGAAGGGUUUGUUAAGUGAAUAAGUAAUUUUUAAAAACCUAACAUUUCCUGAAAUGAAUUUUCUACAUCACAUGCUGUCCCAUUUUUUUCUGACACAGAGCGAUGGAAGGAAAGACGGGUGGUGAACCGAACUGUGAAGAGAGGAACUAUUAGGAAGUUGGGAGCCUGCUGAUAAUCACUCUGAUUCCAUCCAGGAUAGAUAUUAAAUUACAUUCGGUGGUCACGUCUCCUGAGGCUCCAGGGUCGUGACAGUACCUGAGACUUUCCUUGCUCGUGAUGACCUUGACAGUUUUGAAGCGCACUGGUCAGGUAUUUUGCCGAAUGACUCUCAGUUGUGAUGUGUCUGUUGUAUUUCUUGUGAUUAGAUGAGGUUAUGGGUUUGGGAAAGAUCCCAGCAGUAAAGCGCCAUUUUCAUGUCAUUAUGUCAAGAGUCAUUAUACGCCAGCAACAUACACCUCUCUAUUGAACUGGUUGCCGUAGUGUUUGUUAGGUUUGUCCACUGUAAAAUUAGUCCAUUUCCUCCCUUCCUAACUACAUCCUUUUGUUUGUUUUGUUUUUCCGACUGCGCCCUCGACCUGCUUCUGCAUGACCGGCGCCACAGCAGAGACCAUGCUGGAUCCUUAAACAGCUGAGCCACCAGGGAGCUCCUAAGUGCACCAUUUUGGAAGGAAGUCACUGCCCAGCCCACAUUUGAGGAGUGGGGCAUUACCGUCCACUUCCUUGGGGUGAGGAUGUCUGUGCUCCCCAUGAUAGAAGUCCGCACGUGUGCAUUUUGGGGCUCAGCACGGAGCUCCUGGGGCCUUUGGGGUGUCACUGCUGGAGGCUAGAUUGCUAUUGAUUUCUGUCCGUUGCAACCAGAAGUUUCCUGAGCAAUGGAAGUGGCCAAGGAUCCGGCUUGUGGAAAAUACUGAAAGAACGAAGCGUGUACCUGAAGAGCUGAAACUCCAAGGAUACCUGGAGCCACUGCAUCAAAGUACCGGGGACCCAGGCAAACAUCUUCUUGUUCAUUAAGUGAAGGUGUUAGACAAACAGGCAGGUCUGUGCCCGUGGGAACUCAGAUCCCCAGAAAACCCCAGGGGCCCGGCAAGUCGACAGGAUAAGCUGCGUUUCCUACGGUGCCUCUGCAGAGUCUGCACCAGCUCGGCACUUCCGGGUCACGUGGCCCUUGGUAAACCCCUUCCUCUCGGAGCCUUGAUUUCCUCAUCUGUCCAGUGAAUGGUAAUAAUACUUGUUUCACAGGCGCAUUCUGCAGCUUUCAUUGCACCCUGAGCUCUGUAGAAACUCCAUGAAUAUUGCUUUUCUCCCAUCCAUUCAUGUCCCUGAUGGAAGGCCAUCAAGGAGCCUGGACUGACUCUCCUUCCAGGCUAUUCUUCUAUAGAGGCUACCUUCCGCGCUUCUUCCACCAGUAGCCAUCUCCUCUGAGCUGUCCUGUUCGUAAUCAUCUCCCCUUUUCCGGGUAUGUUCCCUGCCCUUCGUCACAAAGAAGAAUUUCUGAUCAUGUGUGCAUUCCUUUCAGACUUGGAAAACGCCUGAUGUGGGAGUUAGGUUUUCUGUGGCCGGCUUGCCCCUCCUGGCCCGAGUCACCGGCGAAAGAUGACCUUCGGGCUGAAGACGGUGUGGACGCAAAUCAUCCGCUCUCAAGGCAGGGCUCUCUCGUUACCAUGUCUGCAUGAUGUUUCUCCUUCCCAGAGCUGAAGGAUAAAAAAAGAAUAAAAUCAUCAGGCAUUUUUGUUUAAC